rnacentral:rRNA from 1 species
GAUGAACGCUGGCGGCGUGCCUAAUACAUGCAAGUCGAGCGAACAGACGAGGAGCUUGCUCCUCUGACGUUAGCGGCGGACGGGUGAGUAACACGUGGAUAACCUACCUAUAAGACUGGGAUAACUUCGGGAAACCGGAGCUAAUACCGGAUAAUAUAUUGAACCGCAUGGUUCAAUAGUUAAAGACGGUUUUGCUGUCACUUAUAGCUGGAUCCGCGCCGCAUUAGCUAGUUGGUAAGGUAACGGCUUACCAAGGCAACGAUGCGUAGCCGACCUGAGAGGGUGAUCGGCCACACUGGAACUGAGACACGGUCCAGACUCCUACGGGAGGCAGCAGUAGGGAAUCUUCCGCAAUGGGCGAAAGCUUGACGGAGCAACGCCGCGCGAGUGAUGAAGGUCUUCGGAUCGUAAAACUCUGUUAUUAGGGAAGAACAAAUGUGUAAGUAACUAUGCACGUCUUGACGGUACCUAAUCAGAAAGCCACGGCUAACUACGUG